GAUGAACGCUGGCGGCGUGCCUAAUACAUGCAAGUCGAGCGAAGCGGGGACGGGUGAGUAACACGUGGAUAACCUCCUAUAAGACUGGGAUAACGUCGGGAAACCGGAGCUAGACCGGAUACUUCGAGAUGGAUCCGCGCUGCAUUAGCUAGUUGGUCAGGUAACGGCUUACCAAGGCAACGAUGCAUAGCCGAGCUGAGAGGGUGAUCGGCCAAACUGGGACUGAGACACGGUCCAUACUCCUACGGGAGGCAGCAGUAGGGAAUCUUCCGCAAUGGGCGAAAGCCUGACGGAGCAACGCCGCGUGAGUGAUGAAGGUCUUCGGAUCGUAAAACUCUGUUAUUAGUGAAGCGGUACCUAAUCAGAAAGCCACGGCUAACUACGUGCCAGCAGCCGCGGUAAUUC
rnacentral:rRNA from 1 species